ACCGAGGCUAGAGUCACAUCUCUGUACUUCUGUUGCCCUGGUGUGCUACAGCUACUCGGAUAGUGAAGUCUGAGCCUAUUCACUGACUGAAUCUUUGUGGUGCAGCCAGUCACCAGCUCUGAUACAUUG